rnacentral:rRNA from 1 species
AAUUACCCAAUCCUGACACAGGGAGGUAGUGACAAGAAAUAACAAUACAGGGCUUAAAGUCUUGUAAUUGGAAUGAUGGGAAUCUAAACCCUUCCCAGAGUAUCAAUUGGAGGGCAAGUCUGGUGCCAGCAGCCGCGGUAAUUCCAGCUCCAAUAGCGUAUAUUAAAGUUGUUGCAGUUAAGAAGCUCGUAGUUGAAUUUCUGCCUUGUCAUUAAUCUCGCUUCCGAGCGUUUUUUUAUUGACUUGGCAUCUUCUGGAUUUGGUGCCUUCGGGUACUAUUUUCCAGGAUUUACUUUGAGAAAACUAGAGUGUUUCAAACAGGCAUUCGCCUUGAAUACUACAGCAUGGGAUAAUGAAGUAGGACUUUGGUUCUAUUUUGUUGGUUAUUGAGCCAGAGUAAUGGUUAAUAGGAGCAGUUGGGGGCAUUCGUAUUUAA